rnacentral:rRNA from 1 species
GACGAACGCUGGCGGCGUGCUUAAUACAUGCAAGUCGAGCGCAAAAGGUUGGUACUUGUACCAACUGGAUGUGCAGCGCACGGGAGAGUAACGCGAGGGGCCUCUGCCUUUGAGUGGGGGACAACAUUUGGACACGAAUGCUAAUACCGCAUAAAAACUUUCAACACAGGUUUGAAGUUUGAAAGAUGCAAUUUCAUCACUCAAAGAUGCUCUCGCGUUGUAUUAGCUAGUUGGUGAGGUAAAGGCGCAUCAAGGCGAGGAUGCAUUGCCGACCUGAGAGGGUGAGCAGCCACAGUGGGACUGAGACACGGCCCAAAGUCCUACGGGAGGCAGCAGGAGGGAAACUGGAGCAAUGAGCGGAAGUCUGACCGAGCAACGCCGCGGGAGUGAAGAGGGUUGUCGGAUCGUAAAACUCUGUUGGUAGAGAAGAACGUUGGUGAGAGUGGAAAGCUCAGCAAGUGACGGUAACUACCCAGAAAGGGACGGCUAACUACGUG